CCCCCGGCAGGCCGACAUGUGUCACCAUGAAGGUCGAGCUGUGCAGUUUUAGCGGGUACAAGAUCUACUCGGGACACGAGCGGCGCUACGCCAGGACCGAUGGGAAGGUUUUCCAGUUUCUUAAUGCCAAAUGUGAGUCCGCAUUCCUUUCCAAAAGGAACCGUCGGCAAAUUAACUGGACUGUCCUCUACAGAAGAAAACACAAGAAAGGACAGUCAGAGUCGGAAGAAAUUCAAAAGAAAACAACCCACCGUGCAGAAGUUCCAGCGGGCCAUCACAGGCACUUCUCUGGCUGAUAUAAUGGCCAAGAGGAAUCAGAAACCAGAAGUUAGGAAAGCUCAGCAAGAACAGGCUAUCAGGGAUGCCAAGGAAGCAAAAAAGGCUAAGCAGGCAUCAAAGAAGACAGCAAUGGCUGCUGCCAAGGCCCCCACAAAGGCAGCCCCUAAACAAAAGAUUGUGAAGCCUGUGAAGGUCUCUGCUCCCAGAGUUGGUGGGAAACGCUAAUUUGGUAGAUGAGAGUUUAAAAAUAAAGAUUUGUCUCUA